GGCGGCGGACGAGAUGCAGAUGGCCGACGGAGUGUAUGUCAGAUGCUGUCCUGAAAUCACUCAAUCCACAUAACUGCCCUAUGAGGCCUCGCUGCUGUAAG